rnacentral:rRNA from 1 species
AGUUCCUACGGGACGCAGCAGUAGGGAAUAUUGCUCAAUGGGGGAAACCCUGAAGCAGCAACGCCGCGUGAAGGAAGAAGGCUUUCGGGUUGUAAACUUCUUUUAAGAGGGAAGAGUAGAAGACGGUACCUCUUGAAUAAGCCACGGCUAACUACGUGCCAGCAGCCGCGGUAAUACGUAGGUGGCAAGCGUUGUCCGGAUUUACUGGGUGUAAAGGGCGUGUAGCCGGGUUGACAAGUCAGAUGUGAAAUCCUGCGGCUUAACCGCAGAACUGCAUUUGAAACUGUUGCUCUUGAGUACUGGAG